rnacentral:rRNA from 1 species
GACGAACGCUGGCGGCGUGCUUAACACAUGCAAGUCGAACGGUGAAGCGCCUUCCUUUUUGGUGGGUGUGGAUGAGUGGCGAACGGGUGAGUAACACGUGAGUAACCUGCCCCCUUCUUCUGGAUAACCGCAUGAAAGUGUGGCUAAUACGGGAUAUUCUGGGUCUGCCGCAUGAUGGGUCUGGGAAAGAUAUUGUUUCGGUGGGGGAUGGGCUCGCGGCCUAUCAGCUUGUUGGUGGGGUGAUGGCCUACCAAGGCGGUGACGGGUAGCCGGCCUGAGAGGGUGGACGGUCACACUGGGACUGAGACACGGCCCAGACUCCUACGGGAGGCAGCAGUGGGGAAUAUUGCACAAUGGGCGCAAGCCUGAUGCAGCGACGCCGCGUGAGGGAUGGAGGCCUUCGGGUUGCGAACCUCUUUCGCCAGUGAAGCAGGCCUGCCUCGUUUGUGGGUGGGUUGACGGUAGCUGGAUAAGAAGCGCCGGCUAACUACGUG